UCCAGAGCUUUCUCUCUUAUUCCACACAGACCUACCAAACAACGGAUGAGUCGAGGAACAUUUCAGAAAACUGACAAACCCUCACAUCUUCCAGCAUCUCUAUGUACUCAGGGGAGUGAAGCAUCAGCAUUACAGAUUUGGGUUGACCCAGAUUUUAAAGUAUUCCCACAUUCAUUCACAAGCCUGGGAUACUGGGAGACUUUAAACCGACAGACCAGCAGCGAUGAGAACAGCCUUCAACCAAACCGAGACAUCGCUCAGCUACGCCGAGACAAGAAACCGUCUGAAACGCUCCUCCGGCCCAAAAACACACUUUGAUGUCA